rnacentral:lncRNA from 1 species
UUGAACGCUGAACUGAACAGCACUUCGAAAAGUGUGAAUGUUUUUAGAAGAAAAACUGUUAGAAGCACUGAGUAUAUCAACAUGACAUGUCCACCAAUCU